rnacentral:tRNA from 1 species
GGUCCGGUAGCUCAGCGGUAGAGCGGCGAGGAACUCGCGGUCGGCAGUUCGAUUCUGCCCCGGAUCUCCA